AACGCACCUUGCGCUCCUUGGUAUUCCGAGGAGCAUGCCUGUUUGAGUGUCAUUAAUAUAUCAACCUCUUCAGCUUUUGCUUGUUGAGUGUUGGAUGUGGGGGUCUUUUUUUGCUGGUCUUCUCAGGUCAGCUCCCCUGAAAUGCAUUAGCGGAACAAUUUGUGGACCGUUCAUUGGUGUGAUAAUUAUCUACGCUAUUGACGUGAAGCAGUUCAGCUUCAAACAGUCCAUUGACUUGGACAAAUUUUUAUUAAUGUGACCUCAAAUCAGGUAGGACUACCCGCUGAACUUAA
rnacentral:misc_RNA from 1 species